rnacentral:rRNA from 1 species
CCUACGGGUGGCAGCAGUGGGGAAUAUUGGACAAUGGGGGAAAGCCUGAUGCAGCAAUGCCGCGUGAGGGAAGAAGGCAUUCGUUAUGUAAAGCUCUAUGAGCAGGGAAGAAAAUGACGGUACAUGAGUAAGACACGCCGGCUAACUACGUGCGAGCAGCCGCGGUAAUACGGGGGGGGCAAGCGUUAUCCGGAUUUACUGGGUGUAAAGGGAGCGUAGACGGGAGGGCAAGUCUGGAGUGAAAGGCGGGGGCUCAACCCCCGGACUGCACUUGAAACUGUACGGCUGGAGUGCAGGAGAGGCAGGUGGAAUUCCUAGUGUAGCGGUGAAAUGCGUAGAUAUAAGGAGGAACACCAGUGGCGAAGGCGGUUUACUGGACUGUAACUGACGUUGAGGCUCGAAAGCGUGGGGAGCAAACAGGAUUAGAUACCCCAGUAGUC